GCGAACGGGUGAGUAAUAUAUCGGAACAUGUCCGGAAGUGGGGGAUAACGUAGCGAAAGUUACGCUAAUACCGCAUAUGCCCUGAGGGGGAAAGGAGGGGAUCGCAAGACCUUUCGCUUUCGGAGUGGCCGAUAUCGGAUUAGCUAGUAGGUGGGGGUAAAGGCUCACCUAGGCGACGAUCCGUAGCUGGUCUGAGAGGACGACCAGCCACACUGGGACUGAGACACGGCCCAGACUCCUACGGGAGGCAGCAGUGGGGAAUUUUGGACAAUGGGCGCAAGCCUGAUCCAGCCAUGCCGCGUGAGUGAAGAAGGCCUUCGGGUUGUAAAACUCUUUCGGACAGAAAGAAAUCCUAUCCGCUAAUACCGGGUGGGGAUGACGGUACUGUAAGAAGAAGCACCGGCUAACUACGUGCCAGCAGCCGCGGUAAUACGUAGGGUGCGAGCGUUAAUCGGAAUUACUGGGCGUAAAGCGUGCGCAGGCGGCUUUGUAAGACAGGUGUGAAAUCCCCGGGCUUAACCUGCGAACUGCACUUGUGACUGCAAGACUAGAGUGCGGCAGAGGGGGGGUAGAAUUCCACGUGUAGCAGUGAAAUGCGUAGAGAUGUGGAGGAAUACCGAUGGCGAAGGCAGCCCCCUGGGUCGACACUGACGCUCAUGCACGAAGGCGUGGGGAGCAAACAGGAUUAGAUACCCUGGUAGUCCACGCCCUACACGAUGUCAACUAGGUGUUGGGGAAGGGAGACUUCUUUAGUACCGCAGCUAACGCGUGAAGUUGACCGCCUGGGGAGUACGGUCGCAAGAUUA
rnacentral:rRNA from 1 species